rnacentral:rRNA from 1 species
AUGGUGAACUCGCAGCAUGAGAAAUCUAAUCAUGAGGAGGGCGAUGAACUUCCGGAGGAUCUGAAUAUAAGUGAUGAUUUACGUAUCCAUCUGAUGUCGAUCAAGGGAGCGAACAAGAAGCUUGGGACAAAGGUUGAGGAGUUGUCUGCAAAUAUUGUUGGCGUCGAGGACAGGUUGAACGAGCGUUUGACUGCCAGCGACCGACAGCGCAUUGAUAGUCUACAGGUGGUGACUGCGAGUCUUAAUCGGCUCACCGCAGCAGUUCAGCGCCUUCAGGCGGGAGAUGUGGCACCCCGACAGUCCCGCUCACCACGACGACGUCGUGACCGCGACAACGACGAUGAUGGUGAUUUUUCUGAGGAUUCCGAUACCCGUGGAGGCUUACCUCACCGACCACGGCAUGAUGCUGGGGCUCACCGCCAUGCCGGGCGGCGCCGUGACUAUGGCGGCAAUGGUGCCCACGAGGAUGAUGGUUUGGGUCGAAUCAAGAUAACCAUACCUGAAUUCUCGGGACGUUGUGCUGACCCGGAGAAAUAUUUGGAGUGGGAGAUACGCGUAAAUCAGAUUUUUGAUGGUCACAACUACUCUGAAGAGAAGAAGGUUCGUGUUGCAUCAAUGGAAUUUAUAGAGUAUGCUCUUGUAUGGUGGGAUAAUAAAAACCGUACUCAUGAGCGACCAACGACAUGGGCUGACAUGAAGCGAAUCAUGAGGGAACGUUUUGUGCCUGCUUAUUACACUCGCCAGCUUCAUAGUAGACUGCGUCGUCUAGUGCAAGGUACAAAAAUCAGUUGA